UACGAAGGGGGGCUAGCGUUGCUCGGAAUGACUGGGCGUAAAGGGCGCGUAGGCGGCUCAUACAGUCAGAUGUGAAAUUCCUGGGCUUAACCGGGGAACUGCGUCUGAUACUGGAUGGCUUGAGUUUGGGAGAGGGAUGCGGAAUUCCAGGUGUAGCGGAUGAAAUGCGUAGAUAUCUGGAGGAACACCGGUGGCGAAGGCGGCGAUCCUGGACCAACACUGACGCUGAGUGAGCGAAAGCCAGGGAGCAAACGGG
rnacentral:rRNA from 1 species